CGGCAAUGGAGGAAACUCUGACCGAGCAACGCCGCGUGAACGAUGAAGUAUUUCGGUACGUAAAGUUCUUUUAUUAGGGAAGAAUAAAUGAUGGAAAAAUCAUUCUGACGGUACCUAAUGAAUAAGCCCCGGCUAACUAUGUGCCAGCAGCCGCGGUAAUACAUAGGGGGCAAGCGUUAUCCGGAAUUAUUGGGCGUAAAGGGUGCGUAGGCGGUUAAAUAAGUUUAUGGUCUAAGUGCAAUGCUCAACAUUGUGAUGCUAUAAAAACUGUUUAGCUAGAGUAAGAUAGAGGCAAGUGGAAUUCCAUGUGUAGUGGUAAAAUGCGUAAAUAUAUGGAGGAACACCAGUAGCGAAGGCGGCUUGCUGGGUCUUUACUGACGCUGAGGCACGAAAGCGUGGGGAGCAAACAGGAUUAGAUACCCUGGUAGUCCACGCCGUAAACGAUGAGUACUAAACGUUGGGUAAAACCAGUGUUGAAGUUAACACAUUAAGUACUCCGCCUGAGUAGUACGUACGCAAGUAUGAAACUUAAAGGAAUUGACGGGACUCCGCACAAGCGGUGGAUCAUGUUGUUUAAUUCGAAGGUACCCGAAAAACCUCACCAGGUCUUGACAUGCUUCUGCAAAGCUGUAGAAACACAGUGGAGGUUAUCAGUUGCACAGGUGGUGCAUGGUUGUCGUCAGCUCGUGUCGUGAGAUGUUGGGUUAAGUCCCGCAACGAGCGCAACCCUUAUUGUUAGUUACCAGCACGUAAUGGUGGGGACUUUAGCAAGACUGCCAGUGAUAAAUUGGAGGAAGGUGGGGACGACGCCAAAUCAUCAUGCCCCUUAUGACCUGGGCUACAAACGUGAUACAAUGGCUGUUACAAAGAGUAGCUGAA
rnacentral:rRNA from 1 species